AAGAAGUUAGUUAAAUGAAUAACAUUAGUAUGUCAUACUAAAAUUAUUAGAAUCUAAUACAUCUUU
rnacentral:tRNA from 1 species